rnacentral:rRNA from 1 species
GCAUAUCAAUAAGCGGAGGAAAAGAAACCAACAGGGAUUGCCUCAGUAACGGCGAGUGAAGCGGCAAAAGCUCAAAUUUGAAAUCUGGCUCUUUCAGGGUCCGAGUUGUAAUUUGUAGAAGAUGCUUUGGGUGUGGCUCUGGUUUAAGUUCUUUGGAAUAUUACAUCAUAGAGGGUGAGAAUCCCGUAUGUGACCAGUCGCCGCGCCCGUGUAAAGCUCUUUCAACGAGUCGAGUUGUUUGGGAAUGCAGCUCAAAAUGGGAGGUAUAUUUCUUCUAAAGCUAAAUAUUGGCCAGAGACCGAUAGCGCACAAGUAGAGUGAUCGAAAGAUGAAAAGCACUUUGGAAAGAGAGUUAAACAGUACGUGAAAUUGUUGAAAGGGAAGCGCUUGCAACCAGACUUGCACGCAGUUGAUCAUCCGGUGUUCUCACCGGGGCACUCUGCUGCGUUCAGGCCAGCAUCGUUUUUGGUGGUUGGAUAAAGGCCUUGGGAAUGUAGCUUCUUUCGGGGAGUGUUAUAGCCCUCGGUGCAAUGCAGCCUACCGGGAACGAGGACCGCGCUUCGGCUAGGAUGCUGGCGUAAUGGUUGUAAGCGGCCCGUCUUGAAACACGGACCAAGGAGUCUAACAUCUAUGCGAGUGUUUGGGUGUCAAACCCAUACGCGUAAUGAAAGUGAACGGAGGUGAGAACCCUUAAGGGUGCAUCAUCGACCGGUCCUGAUGUCUUCGGAUGGAUCUGAGUAAGAGCAUAGCUGUUGGGACCCGAAAGAUGGUGAACUAUGCGUGAAUAGGGUGAAGCCAGAGGAAACUCUGGUGGAGGCUCGCAGCGGUUCUGACGUGCAAAUCGAUCGUCAAAUUUGCGCAUAGGGGCGAAAGACUUAUCGAACCAUCUAGUAGCUGGUUCCUGCCGA